UCAUAGUUCAUUUUGAAAAUA
rnacentral:piRNA from 1 species